UACGUAGGGUGCGAGCGUUAAUCGGAAUUACUGGGCGUAAAGCGUGCGCAGGCGGUUUUGUAAGCCAGAUGUGAAAUCCCCGGGCUUAACCUGGGAAUGGCAUUUGGGACUGCAAGGCUGGAGUGCGGCAGAGGAGACUGGAAUUCCUGGUGUAGCAGUGAAAUGCGUAGAUAUCAGGAGGAAUACCGAUGGCGAAGGCAGGUCUCUGGGCUGACACUGACGCUCAUGCACGAAAGCGUGG
rnacentral:rRNA from 1 species